rnacentral:misc_RNA from 1 species
GAUGAAGAACGCAGCGAAAUGCGAUAAGUAAUGUGAAUUGCAGAACUCAGUGAAUCAUCGAAUCUUUGAACGCACAUUGCGCCCCUUGGUAUUCCAUGGGGCAUGCCUGUUCGAGCGUCAUUUGUACCCUCAAGCUUUGCUUGGUGUUGGGCGUCUUGUCGUAUUACGACUCGCCUUAAAUACAUUGGCAGCCGGCACUUUGGCCUAGGAGCGCAGCACAUUUUGCGAUCGUAGCCCGUUGUACUGGCGUCCAUCAAGAACAUUUACCACGUUUGACCUCGGAUCAGGUAGGGAUACCCGCUGAACUUAAGCAUAUCAAUAAGCGGAGGA